rnacentral:rRNA from 1 species
AUACGUAGGGGGCAAGCGUUAUCCGGAUUUACUGGGUGUAAAGGGAGCGUAGACGGUAAAGCAAGUCUGAAGUGAAAGCUCGGGGCUCAACCCCGGAACUGCUUUGGAAACUGUUUUACUGGAGUGCAGGAGAGGUAAGCGGGAUUUCUAGUGUAGCGGUGAAAUGCGUAGAUAUUAGGAGGAACACCAGAGGCGAAGGCGGCUUACUGGACUGUAACUGACGUUGAGGCUCGAAGGCGUGGGGAGCAAACAGGAUUAGAUACCCUGGUAGUCCACGCGGUAAACGAUGAUCACUAGGUGUCGGCGGCCAUAGGCGGUCGGUGCCGCAGCAAACGCAAUAAGUGAUCCACCUGGGGAGUACGUUCGCAAGAAUGAAACUUAAAGGAAUUGACGGGG